AUCAACAACCAAGCAGAAUACGAAGCUCGCAUUGAAAAGACUGGUAUAGAGGCACAAAAGUAUUUUAGUGGUAUGAUAUUGUUCAGAUCUAUCUGACCACUUCAGGAGGGGGUCAGGGAUGCACUGUGCCCGAUUUCUCCUCUGCAAUCAGGCCACCGAAAGUGCAUACAGUGGGCAACAUCAUCAGCACUUCUCCCACGUCUCUAGAAAAACGAGAGUCAUCUCUGCAUCAUAACGUUGGAGGAAAUACGUUCCUAGCAUAGACAUGUUAGUGUGUUAUUGGAGGGCGAGAGACCCAGAAUUUUGAAAAAUGCAGCAGCAGUCAUCUUCAUCACUCCUGUCACGUCUCUCGUCAGAAGGCAUGGACCAAAGCGCAGCGUGGAUGAUGUAGAAGACGACCCCCCCCAAGAAGUCACAGCAUGUCACAUCAGCAUCCAGCUCUGCAGGAUCAGUGUAAUUGGGAUGGACGGGGAAGACUGCAUUUACAACCCUUAAAGGACUACGGUUGUAUGAUGGCCUGGAUGAAGAUGAAAAUAUUAUCCUCGAGGAAUCAUUCAUGUUCCAGUUAAAGAGAGAUAAUGAGAUGUUCUAUGUGGAGGCAGUUGACAACAAGAAAAUGACUGUCUGCCUCUUUUGAUGAGCAGGGGUGAAGCCAUUUUUGAGGAGUGGUCAAAUCUUGUUUUUGUCUGCUGU